AUUGAACGCUGGCGGCAUGCCUUACACAUGCAAGUCGAACGGCAGCGCGGACUUCGGUCUGGCGGCGAGUGGCGAACGGGUGAGUAAUACAUCGGAACGUACCCUGUUGUGGGGGAUAACUAGUCGAAAGAUUAGCUAAAACCGCAUACGACCUGAGGGUGAAAGUGGGGGACCGCAAGGCCUCACGCAGCAGGAGCGGCCGAUGUCUGAUUAGCUAGUUGGUGGGGUAAAGGCCCACCAAGGCGACGAUCAGUAGCUAGUCUGAGAGGACGAUCAGCCACACUGGGACUGAGACACGGCCCAGACUCCUACGGGAGGCAGCAGUGGGGAAUUUUGGACAAUGGGGGCAACCCUGAUCCAGCAAUGCCGCGUGUGUGAAGAAGGCCUUCGGGUUGUAAAGCACUUUUGUCCGGAAAGAAAUCGCGCUGGUUAAUACCUGGCGUGGAUGACGGUACCGGAAGAAUAAGCACCGGCUAACUACGUG
rnacentral:rRNA from 1 species